ACACAAUUUAUUUCUUAAAUUCAUACUACUUAUUUUAAUAUUAUUACUAUUAAAUCCUAAAUCUAAAAUUUAAUUUUAUUUUAAUUAUUAUAAAUUGUAAUUCAUAUUUAUUUAAAUAUCAGCUGCACCUUGAUCUAAUUUCUAACUAUUUAUAGCUCUAAAAUCUUAUUUUAUAAAUUUUAUAAAAAUGACGGUAUACAAACUAAUUUAUUUAAAUUGAAUAAUUCGUGGAUUGUCGAUUAAUAAAUACAAAUUCCUCUAAUAAGGUUUAAAUUACCGUCAGGUUUUUUAGGUUUUG
rnacentral:rRNA from 1 species